GAUGAACGCUGGCGGCGUGCCUAAUACAUGCAAGUCGAGCGAACAGAUGAGGAGCUUGCUCCUCUGACGUUAGCGGCGGACGGGUGAGUAACACGUGGAUAACCUACCUAUAAGACUGGGAUAACUUCGGGAAACCGGAGCUAAUACCGGAUAAUAUAUUGAACCGCAUGGUUCAAUAGUGAAAGACGGUUUUGCUUUCACUUAUAGAUGGAUCCGCGCCGCAUUAGCUAGUUGGUAAGGUAACGGCUUACCAAGGCGACGAUGCGUAGCCGACCUGAGAGGGUGAUCGGCCACACUGGAACUGAGACACGGUCCAGACUCCUACGGGAGGCAGCAGUAGGGAAUCUUCCGCAAUGGGCGAAAGCCUGACGGAGCAACGCCGCGUGAGUGAUGAAGGUCUUCGGAUCGUAAAACUCUGUUAUUAGGGAAGAACAAAUGUGUAAGUAACUAUGCACGUCUUGACGGUACCUAAUCAGAAAGCCACGGCUAACUACGUG
rnacentral:rRNA from 1 species